AGGCCAUCAUGAGGACAAUGCCAAAGUAAUUCUUUGUAUCUUCCCCAAGCCUCAUACAACGAUUCAGAAUCUUGUUGCAUGAAUGAUGUAAUAUCAUUCCUCAUUUU
rnacentral:snoRNA from 1 species